rnacentral:rRNA from 1 species
UGGGGAUAACGCUUAGAAAUAGGUGCUAAUACCGCAUAAGCGCACAGCUUCGCAUGAAGCGGUGUGAAAAACUCUGGUGGUAUACGAUGGUUCCGCGUCUGAUUAGCUAGUUGGUGGGGUAAUGGCCUACCAAGGCAACGAUCAGUAGCCGGCCUGAGAGGGUGAACGGCCACAUUGGGACUGAGACACGGCCCAAACUCCUACGGGAGGCAGCAG